UUCUUUUUCUUUUUCUUUUUUCAGCCAAGCAGAGCUCUCUCUCUCUCAAAUCUUGAACCACCUCCUCCUCCCUCCCUCCUCUCUCUAUCUCACUCAGAUCCUCCGUUGUCUCGGAUCGUUUGUCGUGGCUUCACAAGUUUCAAUUUUUUCGAUAACCUUUAUGACGAUAUCCAUUGGUCUUCGGCAAUUGACACGCCGCUUCUCCAUCUUAUUCUUUAGUAUAUUCUCACAGCGCAGUCUUCCCUCGGCCUUCUCUCUCACCCUCUCAGUCCCGUUAAUUGCCUCUUGCACCAUCGAGUGACCCCACUGAAACCCAGACGAACAACCCUCAAAUUUGACCCAUAAAUCAAACUCAGACCGCUGCCUCCUCUGCUCAAAGGCGAAAGGUGCGAAAUCUCUAGUUGUUUGGAACUCAGGUAAAUUUGGUGUCGAAGCCACUUUUGAAUAUGUGUUUGUGAUUCUGUCGAAGCCACUCUUGGCCUCUCCUUCUUUUCAUUGUGAACUUGGACUCUUCAAAGGUGACAUGUUUGAAUCAUUUCUAGGGUUCCAUUUGACAUCGCAUUCGCACUAGCCCAAAUUUCUUUAUAAUUAGGGAGUCUUUGAAUCAUUUUGCAAUUCAAGUUAUGAACUUUGCCCUUAUCUACAUUUGCACUAACCUUCAGUUGUCAUCAUAAAUUUGCUACAUUUUCCUAAUGCUUGAAUUCCUUGUGUUUUUUUCCAAGGUAUUAACUGCACCAUUAUGAUUAAAUGUCAUCUUCUGCUUUCCUCGAAUUUACUAAUUCAUGACUCUUAGAUUCUCUUCAUUUUUGGUACUUCCUUGAGCUUGUGGAUGUAUCUUUUAAAAAUAUUCAUUGUAGUACACAUGGAUGUUGAGGUAACCUUUCCUUCUUUUUGCUUUCCAAGGGUAUGUUGAGGUAAUUCAUAAAUUCAUAUAACAGGGGCACAAGUGCUCUACAUGACAAUCUUUUGCGAUAUUCCAGAAUGCCUAAACUAUACAAACUACAGCUACAAGCCAUGUGUUAUAAUCCUUCACUGCCAAUCUUUGGUAACAAUAAUUGUUUUGUCAGGUGAGAAGAAUACAUUUUGGGGUCAUGUACAUAUGUAUUUUCAUAUAAGAAUGCGACAUAACAUCCUUCUAUUAAAUUUAGUUUCGUUUAAAAAACUGUAAAAUUAUAAACUCAAAUUCUGUUGGUACCAUUAGUUUUUACUACAAUUGACAUUAGGUACAAUUUGUCUUACUAUCUUGGAAAUAUUUGGUGUAGAGGAAUGGAAAAAGGCUUGAAGAUGAGCUGCCCAUUGAAGCAAAUGGAGACUACACCAAGUGAAGGAGGAGGAGCUUAAUUAAUGGUACAAUAGACACGCUGGCUGCACACUUAUUUGGUAAUAUGUUGAAGAUAUUUUUCUCUAACAACAAAUGACUUGGAGAGAUAGUCUAGAGUCCUGAAUCUUUGCAUCAUGAGGAGGAUAUGGUUCAGUGGACAGAAUGUUAAGGCCAUGGGCUGAAGCUUUAUAGGCUGUUCUGUUUGAAAACCACAGCUAGGAAGACGACUGCAUAAUCAAUCAAGUUGGGAGACUUGGUGCUAAAAGAUUGUCUGUUCUUGCAAAGUUCUUACCAGAGUGAGUUAUACUGUGAAAACUCACUUUCAAAUCUUGAGAGAACCACUCAAAUGCAUGAUAAUAUGCAAAUUAGACUGGUUUCCAAUUUAUAAGCAUGCUGUUUGUAUUUCA